rnacentral:tRNA from 1 species
GGAGGGUAAGCGAAUGGCUAGCAGCCUCAUUGGAAUUGAGGUGCCCCGCAAGGGGUUGAGGGUUCGAGUCCCUUGCCCUCCGC